CCUACGUGAGGCAGCAGUGGGGGAUAUUGCACAAUGGGGGAAACCCUGAUGCAGCAACGCCGCGUGAGUGAAGAAGUAUUUCGGUAUGUAAAGCUCUAUCAGCAGUGAAGAGAAUGACGGUACCUGACUAAGAAGCCCCGGCUAACUACGUGCCAGCAGCCGCGGUCAUACGUAGGGGGCGAGCGUUAUCCGGAUUUACUGGGUGUAAAGGGAGCGUAGACGGCAGCGCAAGUCUGGAGUGAAAUCCCAUGGCUUAACCAUGGAACUGCGUUGGAAACUGUGCAGCUAGAGUGCAGGAGAGGUAAGCGGAAUUCCUAGUGUAGCGGUGAAAUGCGUAGAGAUGAGGAGGAACACCAGUGGCGAAGGCGGCUUACUGGACUGUAACUGACGUUGAGGCUCGAAAGCGUGGGGAGCAAACAGGAUUAGAUACCCGAGUAGUC
rnacentral:rRNA from 1 species